rnacentral:lncRNA from 1 species
GUUCAUGUAAUGAUGGUUUUAUUUAUGAUUAGGAGAUAUCUAAGAUGUUGCAUAGCAUUUAUUACUACUAGUAAUAUUUAAUAAACAUUUUCUAUUUGGAUCAACUUUAUAAUUAAUGGGGCUCCACGAUUGAUUAGAUUGAAAGUUCUUUUUUUUUUUUGGAUAAGCUUAGAUUGGAAUUUCUUCUAUUAUCAAACAAGGAAUGCAUCGAAAUUAAACACCACAGUGUGGUGGCAAUGUAAUUAUGUAUUUUGCUUUUGGAAGUUCAAUGGUACCUGUCUGUUAACUUAUCAAGGAUAAACUCGAUGCUGAGAGGAUAUUAAAUUUAUGUUGUUAUUUUUGUCUCAUUUUAGGCGUAAAUGUUAGUUUAGUGUCUUUUGGAAGGGCUUGGCACUUUACGAUUGUGACAAAAUGUUGGUCUUUAGGACAAAUAUGAUGUUAAACAUAUUUCUUUUGUAUUUGAAAGGACUUGUGCUAGAGAUUAAACCAGCUAUUCGGAAAUGAAUUGAAGUCUUAUACCUUUUAUUGUGGCAUGGACUGCAAUUUGUUUCUGUGAUGAAAACCAAGUCUAAUCUGAAAGUAGUUGGGUCGGCUGUAAUUUGUUUCUGUGAUGAAAACCAAGUCUAAUCCGAAAGUAGUUGGGUCGGCUGUAUGAGUUCUUUCCCCUCAUUCAUCCGUGGUUGAGGGGUGCAUCCUCCAAAAGAUGCAGGGAUGCCAAGUUUAUCCUAAUUACCACAAAACGUAUCUCCGAUCUGUGUGUCUCACUUCAUUUGUAUCUAUGAAAAUGACCUUAAAAUAUGAAUGUUAGAGUUUGUUUAUUUGUUUCUGUGAUGUUUGACACUGGAUACCAACAACUGACUCUGAAAGCCAUGCUACUGUCAAGAAGAUGGUAACCAUCUUACAGACUGAGGUUAAUCUUUUCAAAGUAAAGCAUGUGCUUGACUUAAGAGCAGCUUAGUGGAUGAUAAUUAUGGUAAAGAAUGCAGAUAGUGCUUUACUGCUAAAGUGCUGCGUAAUACUACCUUUAAUUUCCAGAUGAGAAUGGGGCAAUUAUAUACUUAAUAUGCAUAUUGGUAUAGUUCAUCAUUUUGAAGGGUUUUUCCUUCUUUUCUCUUUCACAUUGGUAUUAACAAUUUUCAUGGUGUCUGAAAAGAAAUAUUGGUUGGGGUUCUCUUAGAA